rnacentral:rRNA from 1 species
UACGGAGGGUGCGAGCGUUAAUCGGAAUUACUGGGCGUAAAGCGUGCGUAGGCGGUCCGGUCAGUCUUGCGUGAAAUCCCCGGGCUCAACCUGGGAACUGCGCGGGAUACUGCCGGGCUGGAGUGCGGGAGAGGGCGGUGGAAUUUCCGGUGUAGCAGUGAAAUGCGUAGAGAUCGGAAGGAACACCAGUGGCGAAGGCGGCCGCCUGGACCGACACUGACGCUGAGGCACGAAAGCGUGGGGAGCAAACAGG